UAAACGACUCUCGGCAACGGAUAUNCGGUCUNNNNNNUUUAUAAAGAACGUAGUGAAAUGCGAUACUUGGUGUGAAUUGCAGAAUCCCGUGAACCAUCGAGUUUUUGAACGCAAGUUGCGCCCGAAGCCAUUAGGUCGAGGGCACGUCUGCCUGGGCGUCUCA
rnacentral:rRNA from 1 species